UGCUCUCGUACGCUAUAGCAUGAUCGUGGCUCAAUGGAACGUCUGGUAGACUAUCGCCGAACCGUGGAUUAGUGGCGAACGGGUGAGUAACACGUGAGUAACCAUGCCUUCCACUCUGGGAUAAGCGCUGGAAACGGCGUCUAAUACUGGAUAUGACAUUGCCUCGCAUGGGGUGGUGUGGAAAGAUUUUUUGGUGGUAGAUGGACUCGCGGCCUAUCAGCUUGUUGGUGGGGUAAUGGCCUACCAAGGCGACGACGGGUAGCCGGCCUGAGAGGGUGACCGGCCACACUGGGACUGAGACACGGCCCAGACUCCUACGGGAGGCAGCAGUGGGGAAUAUUGCACAAUGGGCGAAAGCCUGAUGCAGCGACGCCGCGUGAGGGAUGACGGCCUUCGGGUUGUAAACCUCUUUCAGCUCUGACGAAGCUUUUGGUGACGGAAGGACCAAAAAAACCACCGGCUAACUACUUGCCACCACCCCCGGAAUUACUUAGGGGGCAACCGUUGUCCGAAUUUAUGGGGCGUAAAAAGCUGGUAGGCGGUUGGUCCCGCCGGCGGUGAAGCCCCGGGGCUUACUUCCGGGCCUGCAUUGGGACCGGCCAGGUUAAAUGGUGGAAGGGAAAACUGAAUUUCUUGGGGACCGUUGAAUUCCCCAAAUAUCAGAAGAAACCCAAUGGCAAAGGCAGGCCUCUGGCCCUUUACUAACGCUAAAAACCAAAACCUUGGGAACCAAACAGAAUAAAAUACCUUGGAAGUCACCGCCUUAACCGUUGGCCGCUAGGUGUGGUCCCAUUCCCGGGGUCCUUCCCCACCUACCCAUUAGCGCCCGCCUGGGAAUACGGCGCAAGGUUAAAUUCAAGGAAUUGACGGGGGCCCCCCAAGCGGCGAACAUGGCGAUAAUUCAUGCACCCGAAAACCUUACCAGGCUUGACUUCACCGACGACUGCAAAAAGUGGUUCCCUUUGGCUGGGUACAGUGGUGCAUGGUUGCGUCAGCUCGGGCGUGAAAUGUGGGUAAGUCCGGAACGAGCCAACCUCGUUCAUGUUGCAGCAGCCCUUUGGGUGCUGGGAC
rnacentral:rRNA from 1 species